rnacentral:rRNA from 1 species
AGCAGCCGCGGUAAUUCCAGCUCCAAUAGCGUAUAUUAAAGUUGUUGCAGUUAAAAAGCUCGUAGUUGAAUUUCGGAGUUUAUCGGUUGGUCGGGCUUCACUGUCCGCACUGACCUGAUGGAUUCCUACCUUCUGAAUAACCAGCAUGCUAUUAAGUUAGUGCGUUGGGGAAGCAGAGCUAUUACCUUGAAAAAAUUAGAGUGCUUAAAGCAGGCUUAUGCUUGAAUAGAUUAGCAUGGAAUAAUAAAAUAGGACGGCAUGGUUCUAUUUUGUUGGUUUCUAGGAUCACCGUAAUGAUUAAUAGGGAUAGUUGGGGGCAUUAGUAUUCAAUUGUCAGAGGUGAAAUUCUUGGAUUUAUUGAAGACUAACUUCUGCGAAAGCAUUUGCCAAGGAUGUUUUCAUUAAUCAAGAACGAAAGUUAGGGGAUCGAAGACGAUCGGAUACCGUCGUAGUCUUAACCAUAAACUAUGCCGACUAGGGAUCGGACGAUGUUAAUUUUUAAUGACUCGUUCGGCGCCUU